AAAAACAUAAAAUACAAUAUACAAGAGUGGAGUUAUCAUACAUGGCCACAUACAAUAAUAUAAAAAGAAAACAAUCAAGUAAAAGCUAAAAAAACAUUAAAGAGCAUAAAACAAAACAACCCAAUAAACAUAAGGGUGUAGAGAUAAAAACCACUAUUGCAACACAAUCUGCUUCGUCCAGCUCAUGCCCAAAUGAACGUAAGGGUGCAAUGGUGAAGUUUGGGGUGCCACUGGUGAAUGUUGGCCCAAGACCAAGGCCCAUUUUUGCUCCCAAAUCAGAAACCCUAAGGUUUCUUCCUCUCCACUCUUGUUUCACUCUUGUUUCCUCCGCAAGAGCUCCUUCUCUUCUCCUUCCUUCAUGAGUGUUGGCCAUAGCCAGCUUGCUUGCGCCUCCACCAUUCUCCGCUGUCGGGGUCGUUGCCGCAGCUGCAUCAAACGAGGUCAUCGACAAAAACGAGGUCGUCGAUGAAAACGAGGCCAGCCACCACACCGCCUCCGCUGAGUCAAGCCGUCGUCACCGGGAUUGUCGCCGGCGACGCUUGUUACGGCCGGGGGAACCACCAGAGUUCCCCUUUCCUUUCUUCCAAACGUUAGGGUUUCUUCCCUCCUUUUCAACUCUGCAACGCUCACUAGGACGAUAGAGACGCCGCCGUGGUCCGCUCCUGUCGGGUUCAUUACCGGUGGCUAAUGGAGCCGCCGGGGAUGUCACCCACGCCAACACAACACUUUCUCCUCCGGUCCACGUCGACCACCACAACUCUAGGCACCUGAGUCACGCUGCUACGCCUUUCACCUCGAGCUAGUCAAUGACGACUACAUCAACAACUAUAGUGUUCUUAUCGGCUGCCACUCCUUGCCGAGGGCAUCACGGAGCUACCAAUAUCACACCCUUCUCCAAGGGGAAGAGUGCUUGCUGGAAGAAGCCUUGGAAGAAGUGGAGGUUAAGGCUGAACCUUAAGACCGUUCGAUAAUUAGAGAUUUUCAUUCUGUAUAACCGUUCGGUAUAAGAAUAGUUUUGAGAACCGUUCGGUCUAGUUCUUCUUUAUGUAAAGUUUUAAAUUCUAUGGUAUUUUUGUAAGGUCGUUCGACCAUAAUCGUACCUUCUUUCCCUUGCAGAACUGAACUGUAAUAUUAUUAAUAUGUGAUUAUUCUAUGAUAUGAUUUUACACUGUA